rnacentral:rRNA from 1 species
UAGGGAAUCUUCCGCAAUGGACGCAAGUCUGACGGAGCAACGCCGCGUGAGUGAAGAAGGAUUUCGGUUCGUAAAACUCUGUUGUUAGAGAAGAACAGCGCAUAGAGUAACUGUUAUGCGUGUGACGGUAUCUAACCAGAAAGCCACGGCUAACUACGUGCCAGCAGCCGCGGUAAUACGUAGGUGGCAAGCGUUGUCCGGAUUUAUUGGGCGUAAAGCGAGCGCAGGCGGUCAAUUAAGUCUGAUGUGAAAGCCCCCGGCUCAACCGGGGAGGGUCAUUGGAAACUGGUUGACUUGAGUGCGGAAGAGGAGAGUGGAAUUCCAUGUGUAGCGGUGAAAUGCGUAGAUAUAUGGAGGAACACCAGUGGCGAAGGCGACUCUCUGGUCUGUAACUGACGCUGAGGCUCGAAAGCGUGGGUAGCAAACAGG